GACGUAGGAGGCGAGCGUUGUCCGGAUUCAUUGGGCGUAAAGAGCACGCAGGCGGUUUGGCAAGUCGGAUGUGAAAGCCCGGAGCUCAACUCCGGACCUGCAUCCGAAACUGCCCGACUAGAGGUAGGUAGGGGAGAUCGGAAUUCCUGGUGUAGCGGUGAAAUGCGCAGAUAUCGGGAGGAACACCGGUGGCGAAGGCGGUUCUCUGGGCCUUACCUGACGCUGAGGAGCGAAAGCGUGGGGAGCGAACAGG
rnacentral:rRNA from 1 species